AGCUUUGCCCAGUGGCGGCAUUGUAGCCAAUGAGGUUUACCUGAAGUACAAUUAUUGCUAAUUGAAAACUUUUCCCAAUACCCCUCCAUGACGACUUGAAAUAUAGUCAGCACUGGCAAUUUUUGACCGUCUCUACAGAGA
ensembl:snRNA RNU4-58P RNA, U4 small nuclear 58, pseudogene